GGUGGUUCUCGAGUGACGCACCCCAGAAUUGGGCUCCCUCCUCUCUGUUCCAGGUGUAUAACCCGAGAACCGCA
rfam:Myotis davidii contig14677, whole genome shotgun sequence.